CGACCGGCGCACGGGUGAGUAACACGUAUCCAACCUGCCCUUUACUCGGGGAUAGCCUUUCGAAAGAAAGAUUAAUACCCGAUGGCAUAAUGAUUCCGCAUGGUUUCAUUAUUAAAGGAUUCCGGUAAAGGAUGGGGAUGCGUUCCAUUAGGUAGUUGGUGAGGUAACGGCCCACCAAGCCUACGAUCGGUAGCCGGACUGAGAGGUUGAUCGGCCACAUUGGGACUGAGACACGGCCCAGACUCCUACGGGAGGCAGCAUG
rnacentral:rRNA from 1 species